rnacentral:tRNA from 1 species
UGACGUAGCUCAGUCGGUAGAGCACAUCCUUGGUAAGGAUGAGGUCAUGGGUUCAAGUCUCAUCGUCA